AUUGAACGCUGGCGGCAGGCCUAACACAUGCAAGUCGAGCGAGCGGGGGGCGGGUGAGUGAUGGAUGGGGACUGCCCGAUAGAGAGGGAUAACAACUGGGCAAGGUGGAUAAUGCCGCAUACGGGCGGAGAACCCAUAUGGGAUUAGCACGUAGGUAAGGUAAUGGCUUACCUAGGCGACGAUCCCUCGCUGUUCUGAGAGGAUGAUCAGCCACACUGGGACUGAGACACGGCCCAGAGUCCUACGGAGUCAGCAGUGGGGAAUAUUGCACAAUUGGCGCAAGCCUGAUGCAGUCAUGCCGCGUGUAUGAAGAAGGCCCUAGGGUUGUAAAGUACUUUCAGUCGGGAGGCGUUACCGACAGAAGAAGCACCGGCUAACUCCGUGCCAGCAGCCGCGGUAAUUC
rnacentral:rRNA from 1 species